rnacentral:lncRNA from 1 species
GCUACUGCAGGAAUUGGUAUUGGUUACAUUUUGAGAGAUUCAAAUGGCAAAUUCAUAUCUGCAGGGACAGAAUCUGGGCAUGCAGCCACAGCUAAAGAGGGAGAGGCAAGAAGAGUUCAUGCAGCAAUCUGCAAAGGGAUCGAGCUACAACUGAGCGGGGUUGAAAUUGAAACGGAUAACAAAGGGGUGGCUGAAUAUAUACCUGCAAGGGAAGUCUGGAAAUUUGUCUUGGUCUGCCAAAUCAAUCUUGGAUCAAGCAAAAUAUCUAUCUAGUUAUUUCAAUUCUGUUUUUUUUUUAAAUUCUAUUUUAGAGCGAGUAAUGCAUCAGCUCAUAUCCUUGCUGCAAAAGCUGAUGUUAGCUCUUCUAUUGCUUGCUCUUAUGUUGUUCCUCCAGUCUGGCUGCUUCGAUAACUCGAACUUGAUAUGCUUAUUUGUAAUAUGGUGAACCUUUAGCCUAUUCUAA